UACGGGGGGAGCAAGCGUUGUUCGGAUUUACUGGGCGUAAAGGGCGCGUAGGCGGCGCGGUAAGUCACUUGUGAAAUCUCUGAGCUUAACUCAGAACGGCCAAGUGAUACUGCAGUGCUAGAGUGCAGAAAGGGCAAUCGGAAUUCUUGGUGUAGCGGUGAAAUGCGUAGAUAUCAAGAGGAAUACCUGAGGCGAAGGCGGGUUGCUAGGCUGACACUGACGCUGAGUGCGCGAAAGCCAGGGGAGCAAACGGG
rnacentral:rRNA from 1 species